rnacentral:tRNA from 1 species
GUCUACAUAGCUUAAAGGUAAAGCGUUCGUUUCGUAAGCGAAAGAUUUGGAGUUCAAGUCUCUCUGUAGGCA